rnacentral:rRNA from 1 species
UACGUAGGUGGCGAGCGUUGUCCGGAUUUACUGGGCGUAAAGCGCGCGUAGGCGGUCUGUUAAGUGCACGAGUGAAAGCUCCGGGCUCAACUCGGAAAUUGCUCUGCAUACUGGCAGGCUGGAGGGACGCAGAGGUCUGUGGAAUUCCUGGUGUAACGGUGAAAUGUGUUGAUAUCAGGAGGAACACCCAUGGCGAAGGCAGCAGACUGGGCGUUUCCUGACGCUGAGGCGCGAAAGCGUGGGUAGCAAACAGG